GAUGAACGCUAGCGGCAGGCUUAAUACAUGCAAGUCGAGGGGCAGCGCGGUGUAGCAAUACACUGGCGGCGACCGGCAAACGGGUGCGGAACACGUACGCUACCUACCCAAAACUGAUGAAUAGCCCUCCGAAAGGAGGAUUAAUACAUCGUAACAUAAUGAGGUGGCAUCACUUUAUUAUUAUAGCUCCGGCGGUUUUGGAUGGGCGUGCGACUGAUUAGGUAGUUGGCGGGGUAACGGCCCACCAAGCCGGCGAUCAGUAACUGGUGUGAGAGCGAGACCAGUCACACGUGCACUGAGACACGGGCCCGACUCCUACGUGAGGCAUCAGUAAGGAAUAUUGGUCAAUGGACGCAAGUCUGAACCAUCCAUGCCGCGUGAAGGAUGAAGGUCCUCUGGAUUGUAAACUUCUUUUAUAUGGGACGAAACCUCUUAUUCUAAAGAGACUGACGGUACCAUAGGAAUAAGCACCGGCUAACUCCGUGCCAGCAGCCGCGGUAAAAC
rnacentral:rRNA from 1 species